GAGGGGUUAGUUAAAUCAUAACAUUGUCUUGUCAAGACAAAAUUAUUAGCGGAACUCUUGUACCCCUCU
rnacentral:tRNA from 1 species